rnacentral:rRNA from 1 species
UACGUAGGGUGCGAGCGUUAAUCGGAAUUACUGGGCGUAAAGCGUGCGCAGGCGGUUGUGUAAGACAGGCGUGAAAUCCCCGGGCUCAACCUGGGAACUGCGCUUGUGACUGCACAGCUAGAGUACGGCAGAGGGGGGUGGAAUUCCACGUGUAGCAGUGAAAUGCGUAGAGAUGUGGAGGAACACCGAUGGCGAAGGCAGCCCCCUGGGCCGAUACUGACGCUCAUGCACGAAAGCGUGGGUAGCAAACAGGAUUAGAUACCCCCGUAGUCC